UCGAACGGGAAAGUGGGGCAACCCAUGAGUACAGUGGCGUACGGGUGAGUAACACGUGGAUGAUCUACCUCUUAGUGGGGAAUAACCCUGGGAAACUGGGGCUAAUACCGCAUAAGCACGAGAGUGGAAAGCAGCAAUGCGCUGAGAGAGGAGUCCGCGGCCGAUUAGCUAGUUGGUGAGGUAAGAGCCCACCAAGGCAAAGAUCGGUAGCCGGCCUGAGAGGGCACACGGCCACACUGGCACUGAAACACGGGCCAGACUCCUACGGGAGGCAGCAGUGGGGAAUCUUGCACAAUGGGGGAAACCCUGAUGCAGCGACGCCGCGUGAGCGAUGUAGCCCUUCGGGGUGUAAAGCUCUUUCGGCAGGGAAGAAAAAAGACGGUACCUGCAGAAGCAGCUGCGGCUAACUACGUGCCAGCAGCCGCGGUAAUACGUAGGCAGCAAGCGUUGUUCGGAGUUACUGGGCGUAAAGGGUGUGUAGGCGGUUGCUUAAGUUUGGUGUGAAAUCUCCCGGCUUAACCGGGAGGGUGCGCCGAAUACUGAGUGACUAGAGUGCGGGAGAGGAGAGUGGAAUUCCUGGUGUAGCGGUGAAAUGCGUAGAUAUCAGGAGGAACACCGGUGGUGUAGAUGGCUCUCUGGACCGUAACUGACGCUGAGACACGAAAGCGUGGGUAGCAAACAGGAUUAGAUACCCUGGUAGUCCACGCCCUAAACGAUGCAUAUUUGGUGUGGGCAGUUCAUUCUGUCCGUGCCGGAGCUAACGCAUUAAAUAUGCCGCCUGGGGAGUACAGUCGCAA
rnacentral:rRNA from 1 species